rnacentral:rRNA from 1 species
GGUCUUCGAGUCUCACUCCAACCCAUGUGAACAUACCUCUCGUUGCCUCGGCAGGCGGCCGUCCUACCCCUCGUAGGUAGGCGAAACCUGCCGACGGCCCCCGAAACUCUGUUUAUUAUAGCAUUAGACCUCUGAAAAAAGAUAACUAAAUCAGUUAAAACUUUCAACAACGGAUCUCUUGGUUCUGGCAUCGAUGAAGAACGCAGCGAAAUGCGAUAAGUAAUGUGAAUUGCAGAAUUCAGUGAAUCAUCGAAUCUUUGAACGCACAUUGCGCCCACCAGUAUUCUGGUGGGCAUGCCUGUUCGAGCGUCAUUUCAACCCUUAAGCCCUGGUUGCUUAGCGUUGGGAGCCUACCGGACCCCGUCCCGUAGCUCCCCAAAGUCAGUGGCGGAGCCGGUUUAACACUCCAGACGUAGUAGCUUUUACACAUCGCCUGUAGCCUAAGCCCGGCGCCCUGCCGUAAAACACCCCCCAAUGUAUAGGUUGACCUCGGAUCAGGUAGGAAUACCCGCUGAACUUAAGCAUAUCAAUAAGCGGAGGAAA